rnacentral:rRNA from 1 species
AGAGUUUGAUUAUGGCUCAGGAUGAACGCUAGCGGCAGGCUUAACACAUGCAAGUCGAGGGGCAGCACGGGUAGCAAUACCUGGUGGCGACCGGCAAACGGGUGCGGAACACGUACACAAUCUGCCUUUAUCUGGGGAAUAGCCCGAAGAAAUUCGGAUUAACGCCCCAUAAUAUAUUGUUUUGGCAUCAGGACGAUAUUAAAACUCCGGUGGAUAAAGAUGAGUGUGCGUCCCAUUAGCUAGUUGGCAGGGUAACGGCCUACCAAGGCGACGAUGGGUAGCUGGUGUGAGAGCACGACCAGCCACACGGGCACUGAGACACGGGCCCGACUCCUACGGGAGGCAGCAGUGAGGAAUAUUGGUCAAUGGACGCAAGUCUGAACCAGCCAUGCCGCGUGAAGGAUGAAGGCCUUCUGGGUUGUAAACUUCUUUUAUUGGGGAAGAAAAUUACGGUUUCUACUGUAACCGACGGUACCCAAGGAAUCAGCACCGGCUAACUCCGUGCCAGCAGCCGCGGUAAUACGGAGGGUGCAAGCGUUAUCCGGAUUCACUGGGUUUAAAGGGUGUGUAGGCGGGCUUUUAAGUCAGUGGUGAAAUCUCCGGGCUCAACCCGGAAACUGCCGUUGAUACUAUUGGCCUUGAAUUCUGUUGAGGUGGGCGGAAUAUAUCAUGUAGCGGUGAAAUGCUUAGAUAUUACAUGGAAUACCAAUUGCGAAGGCAGGUUACUACUAAGUGAUUGACGCUGAUGGACGAAAGCGUGGGGAGCGAACAGGAUUAGAUACCCUGGUAGUCCACGCCGUAAACGAUGGAUACUAGCUGUUCGGCGCAAGUUGAGUGGCUAAGCGAAAGUGAUAAGUAUCCCACCUGGGGAGUACGCACGCAAGUGUGAAACUCAAAUGAAUUGACGGGG